rnacentral:rRNA from 1 species
UACGGGGGGGGCAAGCGUUGUUCGGAAUUACUGGGCGUAAAGGGCGCGUAGGCGGCCACCGCAAGUCGACUGUGAAAUCUCCGGGCUUAACCCGGAAAGGUCAGCCGAUACUGCGGGGCUAGAGUGCAGAAGGGGCAACUGGAAUUCUCGGUGUAGCGGUGAAAUGCGUAGAUAUCGAGAGGAACACCUGCGGCGAAGGCGGGUUGCUGGGCUGACACUGACGCUGAGGCGCGAAAGCGAGGGGAGCGAACGGG